UAAAGUAUAAUAUUGAAGAUAUUAGGAAAGUAAAUUUACUUUAAAAUAU
rnacentral:tRNA from 1 species